rnacentral:rRNA from 1 species
UACGUAGGGGGCAAGCGUUGUCCGGAUUUAUUGGGCGUAAAGCGUGCGCAGGCGGUUCUAUAAGACAGAUGUGAAAUCCCCGGGCUCAACCUGGGAACUGCAUUUGUGACUGUAGAGCUGGAGUGCGGCAGAGGGGGAUGGAAUUCCGCGUGUAGCAGUGAAAUGCAUAGAUAUGUCACAGAACACCGAUUGCGAAGGCAGCUUACUAAAGUGUGAUUGACGCUGAGGCACGAAAGCGUGGGGAUCAAACAGG